rnacentral:rRNA from 1 species
UAGGAAGGCAGCAGUGGGGAAUAUUGCACAAUGGGCGCAAGCCUGAUGCAGCCAUGCCGCGUGUAUGAAGAAGGCCUUCGGGUUGUAAAGUACUUUCAGCGGGGAAGGAAGGGAGUAAAGUUAAUACCUUUGCUCAUUGACGUUACCCGCAGAAGAAGCACCGGCUAACUCCGUGCCAGCAGCCGCGGUAAUACGGAGGGUGCAAGCGUUAAUCGGAAUUACUGGGCGUAAAGCGCACGCAGGCGGUUUGUUAAGUCAGAUGUGAAAUCCCCGGGCUCAACCUGGGAACUGCAUCUGAUACUGGCAAGCUUGAGUCUCGUAGAGGGGGUAGAAUUCCAGGUGUAGCGGUGAAAUGCGUAGAGAUCUGGAGGAAUACCGGUGGCGAAGGCGGCCCCUGGGACGAAGACUGACGCUCAGGUGCGAAAGCUGGGGAGCAAACAGGAUUAGGAUA